UACAGAGGUCUCAAGCGUUGUUCGGAUUCAUUGGGCGUAAAGGGUGUGUAGGUGGCGCCGUAAGUCGGGUGUGAAAUUUCGGAGCUUAACUCCGAAACUGCAUUCGAUACUGCGGUGCUUGAGGACUGGAGAGGAGACUGGAAUUCAUGGUGUAGCAGUGAAAUGCGUAGAGAUCAAUGAGGAAGACCAGUGGCGAAGGCGG
rnacentral:rRNA from 1 species